rnacentral:rRNA from 1 species
ACGGGUGAGUAAUGUCUGGGAAACUGCCUGAUGAGGGGGAUAACUACUGGAAACGGUAGCUAAUACCGCAUAACGUCGCAAGACCAAAGAGGGGGACCUUCGGGCCUCUUGCCAUCAGAUGUGCCCAGAUGGGAUUAGCUAGUAGGUGGGGUAACGGCUCACCUAGGUGACGAUCCCUAGCUGGUCUGAGAGGAUGACCAGCCACACUGGAACUGAGACACGGUCCAGACUCCUACGGGAGGCAGCAUG